rnacentral:rRNA from 1 species
UACAUGGGGUGCAAACGUUGCUCGGAAUUACUGGGCGUAAAGCGUGCGCAGGCGGCUUUGCAAGACAGAUGUGAAAUCCCCGGGCUUAACCUGGGAACUGCAUUUGUGACUGCAUGGCUGGAGUGCGGCAGAGGGGGAUGGAAUUCCGCGUGUAGCAGUGAAAUGCGUAGAUAUGCGGAGGAACACCGAUGGCGAAGGCAAUCCCCUGGACCUGUACUGACGCUCAUGCACGAAAGCGUGGGGAGCAAACGAGGAUAGAUACCUUG